GCCGGGAUAGCUCAGUCGGUAGAGCAGAGGACUGAAAAUCCUUGUGUCGGUGGUUCGAUCCCGCCUCUCGGCACCA
rnacentral:tRNA from 1 species